GUGAGGAAUUUUCCGCAAUGGGCGAAAGCCUGACGGAGCAAUGCCGCGUGAAGGAUGAAGGCCUAUGGGUUGUAAACUUCUUUUCUCAGAAAAGAAUUAUGACGGUAUCUGAGGAAUAAGCAUCGGCUAACUCUGUGCCAGCAGCCGCGGUAAGACAGAGGUUGCAAGCGUUAUCCGGAAUGAUUGUGCGUAAAGCGUCUGUAGGUUGUUUAAAAAGUAUUCUGUCAAAGAUUAGGGCUUAACCCUAGAUAGGCAGAAUAAACUUUUAAGCUAGAGUUUGGUAGAAGCAGAGGGAAUUCCCGGUGGAGCGGUGAAAUGCGUAGAUAUCGGGAGGAACACCAAAGGCGAAGGCACUCUGCUGGGCCAAUACUAACACUGAGAGACGAAAGCGAGGGGAGCAAAUGGGAUUAGAAACCCUAGUAGUCC
rnacentral:rRNA from 1 species